AUCGCUUCUCGGCCUUUUGGCUAAGAUCAAAGUGUAGUAUCUGUUCUUAUCAGCUAAAAACUGACCAUCGAAAAUUUGACCCUAAAAACUGACUUCAAUGGUGGAUGUGCACUUUUUACCUCUUUGCAGUCUUAUCUUCAGUAAUUAUUGGUGGAUGUGCACUUUUUACCUCUUUGCAGUCUUAUCUU
rnacentral:snRNA from 1 species